CAGUGGUGCCUCGCAAGACGAAAUUAAUUCGUUCCGCAAGUCUCUUCGUCUUGCGAGUUUUUCGUCUUGCGAUGCACGGUUUCCCAUAGGAAUGCAUUGAAAAUCAAUUAAUGCGUUCCUAGGGAAACCGCCUUCAGACUCAGGUCCGGGGACAGUCUGUCCCCGGACCUCUUCUGAAGGCUGGGGGUGCAAGGGCUUUUCUUCCCACCCCCAGCAUUUUAAAAAACCCCGGGACAGCGGAGGACUUCUCCGCUGUCCGGGCGAUCUUAAAAUGCUGGCGGGCGGCAUUUUAAAAUCACCCCGGGACAGCGGAGGACUUCUCCACUGUCCGGGGCAAUUUAAAAGCCCCUGGGAAGGCAGGCAGGGGGGACAAAGACUUUUGCCCCCCGCCAGCCUUCAGAAGAGGUCCAGGACCUCUUCUGAAGGCUGGCGGGGGGCAAAAGUCUUUGUCCCCCCUGCCUUCAAAAGCCCUCCGGGACAGGCAGGCAGGGGGGAGCAAAGACUUUCGCCCCCCGCCCGCCUUCAGAAGGUCUUCCCUCCCCCCCGCCCGGCUUCGGAGCACCGUUCCGAAGCCGGGCAGAGGCGGGAGGUCUUCCCUCCCCACCGCCCGGCUUCGGAGCACCGUUCCGAAGCCGGGCAGAGGCGGGAGGUCUUCCCUCCCCCCCGCCCGGCUUCGGAGCACCGUUCCGAAGCCGGGCGGCGGCGGCAGGUGUUCCCUCCCCCGCCCGGCUUCGGAGCACCGUUCCGAGCCGGGCGGCGGCGGCAGGUGUUCCCUCCCCCGCCCGGCUCGGAGCACCGUUCCGAGCCGGGCGGCGGCGGGAGGUGUUCCCUCCCCGCCCGGCCGGAGCACCGUCCGGCCGGGCGGCGGGGAGGUCUUCCCUCCCCACCGCCCGGCUUCGGAGCACCGUUCCGAGCCGGGCGGCGGCGGCAGGUGUUCCCUCCCCCCCGCCCGGCUUCGGAGGAGCCUUCCGAAGCCCGGCGGCGGCGGGAGGAGGUGUCCCCGCCCCGCCGCCAGGCUUCGGAGGAGGUCCGAGGACAGUGGGGAAGACGCGCUGCGCUUCCCCGCUGUCCCUGAGAUUUCCCUAUGGGCUGUCGUCUUGCGAAGCAAGCCCAUAGGGAAAUUCGUUUUGCGAAGCGCCUCCAAAACGGAAAACCCUUUCGUCUAGCGGGUUUUCCGUCUUGCGAGGCGUUCGUCUUGCGGGGUACCACUGUA